ensembl:lncRNA
GUUCUCCGGUUUCAGCGCUGGUUCAGGCAGCAGUAGAACCUGCAGUGCACAUUCACCUGUGAAACGAUAAUUAUAGCUCCUCACCUGAGGAGCCUUGUCUCAGAAAGGCCUCAAACAGGUCGACCCAGCAUGACUCCCUGCAGCCACACCUGAUUCCUCAGCAGGGCGAGAUCAGCGGGGCGUCACCUGCACAGACGAGGACACCAGCAUGUAUAAAACCGGAGCUUGUCCAUCCAUAAACACGGUCUGAACACGACAGCAGCCAUGGCAGAUUUUGUAAAAAAUAUGUUGGGAAAUGACGGGAUGAGAGAUAUGGUUGCAUCGGAAACAGGUAAAGUGGUGGAGGGCUUCGUGAAGAAAGCAAUGGGUGGAGAAGGAGGAGACCAGAAGGAAGAGGGGGCAGGUGAUGUGGUAGGCACCUUGAUGAGCGCCGUGACUGGAGGAGGAGACAAGAAGGAAGGGGAGGGAGGUGAGUUUAAAAUGAAAACAUUUCUCUUUAACUCCAAGAGCUGCACCUACUUUAACAUUAGUUUGUCUUUUAGCUUCCUUUUCACCACAAAAGCAUCAAACUGCUGCACACAGUUCGCUAGUUGUGACCUCACGUCAUCUUUGCCUUUUUUUAAGUAAACCAAUUCAGAAAAACCUAAGGAGCAACAAGAUUGAUUAAAACCGGCAAACGAACAGAAAAACUGAUUAUUUUCUUGUCUUUUUUUUCUGCCAUGGUUCUCAGGGCUGGAUGUGUCGAAAGCUUUGGGAGGACUCUUUUAAGUAGAAACCCAACAGACCAGACUCUCUUUCAGCUUCAUCAAACCCUCAGCUCUUCCCAAACUACUGGAAAACAAUUACCUUCAUUAUUUACACUUGAUUUGUUGCACUUCCAUUUUAAAUGUUGCACCACAUUUGGGGUUGAGAAAAUAAACACAAAAAGCCACAAAAAAGUGAUAAAAACUGAUUAAAUCUGAAUAACACACAUAAACUGAUUUAUAAUCUGAUUUUUAAAAGGGUCACUAUCAGUAUUUUGUGUUAUUUUGCUAUCUUGAAUUAAAUAACUUAAAACAUGAGUGAAAAUGUUCUCCUGUGUUUUAUUUUGCUAAUGGUUUCUUGAAUAUUUUUUGCUCUAUUAUAUUCAGCUUAAACUGAGCCUCUGAUUUGGUGAAUUGAGAGGAAAACAAACUUAUUGUUGGGCUGCACAGUGGCGUGGUGGUUUGCACUCUCACCUUGCAGCUAGAAGAUCCUCGGUUCUGCAUGGAGCUUGCAUGUUCUCCCUGUGCAUGCGUGAGUUUGCUACGGCUACUCCAGCUUCCUUCCACUGUCCAAAAAUAUGCUGAGGUUAAUUUAUUAUUGUAAAUUGCCCGUGAUUGAAUGUGAGUGCAAUUGUUUGUCUGUAUAUGUAGCCCUGCAACCUGUCCAGGGUGUCUCCUGCCUUUGCCCCAAAUCAGCUGGGAUAGACUCCAGUCCCCCCUUAACUUACUGUACUUUCCCAGACGUGUUUGUAGUUUCAAUGAAUGUUUUGUAUGAAUCAACAGAUAAUAAAAACAACCGCCUCCAGUGUGAAACAUGAA